GCGGAUCUGAAGGGAACAGGCAUACCUCGAUGGCUUAAAACCAUUGGCGUCCCGGUUCGACUCCGGGGGUCCGUACCA
rnacentral:tRNA from 1 species